UACAGAGGUCCCAAGCGUUGUUCGGAUUCAUUGGGCGUAAAGGGUGCGUAGGCGGCGCGGUAAGUCGGGUGUGAAAUCUCGGGGCUUAACUCCGAAACUGCAUUCGAUACUGCCGUGCUUGAGGACUGGAGAGGAGACUGGAAUUUACGGUGUAGCGGUGAAAUGCGUAGAUAUCGUAAGGAGGACCAGUGGCGAAGGCGGGUCUCUGGACAGUUCCUGACGCUGAGGCACGAAGGCCAGGGGAGCAAACGGG
rnacentral:rRNA from 1 species